ensembl:lncRNA
UGACAUCCUCAGCCAGAUUCAGCUCAGCUUGGCUGAAAACAUACUGAAACCGGAGUGAGAAGUUGGGGCGUCAGGCCCCUCAACCCUCUGCUCAGGAAACUCCGUUUCCCGUGUUUCACCCAGCGUUUCUCAUGAUGUACUCUGCAUGAUGGCUGUGAAUUUCUCAGUUCCUAUCAUCCCAAAGCUGAAAAGAGGUAGAUGAAAGGCAUCCUGGACCUGUGGACUGCAGCUAUGCCUUCCGAGGGAUGGACUUCCAGCUUUUAGCCACAUGUAUGAAAGGGGCUGUUUCCAUCUGCUGACCUGUCAGGCUCCCCCUCUCUCGGGCUUCUUUCCUGCCUCCUUGGAGUUUCUUCAAUAAAAC